rnacentral:lncRNA from 1 species
CGUAUUGAAAAGAACAAUAAGCUUAUUGAAGCGAUGAAGGCUUCUUCGAGAGAGGAUUGCUUGUGUAGUUCAAUGGCCACACUCUUGACCAAUAAGAAUACCAAUAAUUAAUAUAUGAACAUCAUUACCAUGUAUUCUAUAUGAUCAAAUGUAUUUUGUUUCUACAUCGAAAGCUUUGAUAUGGAAUAAUAAAUUAAAUGCAAUGAUGUUGUUUGUGCAUCUAUAUAUAAAAUGGUAUUCUCAAAACUAAAUAUAUUUGGU